rnacentral:rRNA from 1 species
UAAGGGAUAUUGGUCAAUGGGGCGGGGAGCCUGAACCAGCCAUGCCGCGUGAGGGAAUGAGGCCCUACGGGUCGUAAACCUCUUUUGCCGGGGGAUAACGGGCGCCACGUGUGGCGCCGUGAAGGUACCCGGAGAAUAAGCAUCGGCUAACUCCGUGCCAGCAGCCGCGGUAAUACGGAGGAUGCGAGCGUUAUCCGGAUUUAUUGGGUUUAAAGGGUGCGCAGGCGGGCGUCUAAGUCAGCGGUGAAAGUUUCCCGGCUCAACCGGGUCAGUGCCGAUGAUACUGGGGCUCGAAAGUGCGGGUAUCAAACAGGAUUAGAUA